rnacentral:rRNA from 1 species
AGUGAACGCUGGCGGUAGGCCUAACACAUGCAAGUCGAACGGCAGCACAGUAAGAGCUUGCUCUUACGGGUGGCGAGUGACGGACGGGUGAGGAAUACAUCGGAAUCUACUUUUUCGUGGGGGAUAACGUAGGGAAACUUACGCUAAUACCGCAUACGACCUACGGGUGAAAGCAGGGGAUCUUCGGACCUUGCGCGAUUGAAUGAGCCGAUGUCGGAUUAGCUAGUUGGCGGGGUAAAGGCCCACCAAGGCGACGAUCCGUAGCUGGUCUGAGAGGAUGAUCAGCCACACUGGAACUGAGACACGGUCCAGACUCCUACGGGAGGCAGCAGUGGGGAAUAUUGGACAAUGGGCGCAAGCCUGAUCCAGCCAUACCGCGUGGGUGAAGAAGGCCUUCGGGUUGUAAAGCCCUUUUGUUGGGAAAGAAAAGCAGCAGGUUAAUACCUCGCUGUUCUGACGGUACCCAAAGAAUAAGCACCGGCUAACUUCGUG